UCAGGGCUGGGGGGCCGGGGAGCCCUCCCCACCUGCUUGGAGAGCUGCAGCCUGGCCUGGGAGGGGAGGGGCAGGCCGGCUCCCAGGCUGCUGGUGUCCAGGGUCUCAAGCCCUUUAAGGAUGGGGAAGCCCCUCUCGACUGGCCUUCGGCCCUGGUGGCCUCUGUUCCCCAGCUUUCUCCUGGGACGAGUGAAGGAACAGCCACUUAAGCACCUGGCAGAGGGCAGAUGCCCCCUUCGACAAGCCUCUGGACGUCUUGCACACCAGAGACGUUCGGCUAGAAAGCCCAGGCUGCCUGCCCGAGGAAGCAGUUGGUAACACAGUCCAGGCAUCUGGACAGCCCAGGGGCCACAUGUGGAGACCCUUGGACCUUCUCUCUGUAGCGGAGAGAGCCUGGUCUCUCCCCACAGCCUGCAAACACGCCAGGCUGGACCCCUGCCUUUCCCUGAGGCCGGUGGGCUUCCUCAAGGCAGCAAGGGCCCAAGCUAAACCCCCAGAACGAACAACAGGCCUGCAAAGUUCCCCUUGGGAUCGAAGCACACAGCUCCCGGAGGCCUCACAGACCGCCUCCUGGAUUCCACCCCUCCCCGGGGCAUCUCCCUAUCAUGCAGUCCAGAAACACCCACGUCACACUGAACUAACCCAGAGACACGGGCGGCUUCCUGCCCCCUGGCCUUUGCACAUGCAGCUCUCCCUGCUGUCCCCUCUCUCCCACCAGUCGUGCCCAUAGGAUCCCUGUCAACCCCAACGCUACCCUGCAGUUUAGGGAAACUCCCCGCCGUCAGUGCUCCUGCUCAGCCUUGCACCCCCGUGACUGGGCAGCCUCCUGCCUUGCCCAGCAGCCCGGAGCCCCUGGAGGCCCAGAGCUGCGCCCGGCUCAUUUCCCACCUGAGAGCCGGGCACAGGUGUCAACAGAGCGAGCCAGUGAAUGAAGGAAUGGGUGCCUGGCCAUCUCCACACCGAUCCUGGGAGAUCUGUAACUCAUGGCACUUGCCUGUCUGUUCAGAAAACACAGCCUCAUCUGGCCAGCUGUGACCCAGGCCUUGGCCAGAAAGCAGAAGAUCUCCGCUGACCGUGAGAGGCUUGGAAGCCUGAGGCACUUGUCACAUCGGCUCUGUCCUCCACCUGCCCCGGCCCGGCCCCACUUACCUGGCCCGCAGAACAGGUGCCCCCUGAGCCCCAGCUCCAUUCUGGGCAUGCAGCCUGGCCAAGAUGGACAACACACAAGUACAGGUGAUCAAGCUGGAAUGGCAGAAGCAUAGAGGUUGGCAGGAGACACCCACCUCAGACCCGGAAGGGGCAAGCAAUCAGGGAAGUCUUCCUGGAGGAAGUGCCCCCUACACCAAGACCUGAAGAAUAAGCUGGAGACAGCUGGGCCAGACAAGGCCACCGUCCCGUGGGUGCGUGCAGAGAGAAUGGCAGUAUCCGAGACGAAGCAGAACAGCCUCCGUCUCCUGCUGUUGCUGGACUGGCCGGACAGAAAGACCGAGGAGUCGGUCAGAGAGUUAGCUGUGCGAGGGCGUGGCAGCCUUGGAACCAGCCUUCUGGGGGCACGCUCUGCUCUGCUCAGUGAAACGCUGUCCUGGACCCCUCCCUUCCCGUGGAAACUUCUACCUCCUAGAUGCAUGAAUAUCAUGCGGGGUACCAGACACAUGCAGGAGAUUUGCCAAAAAAAAAAAAAAAAAAGUUUGCUGACUGUGAUUCAUUCAUUUUUCUGACCACUCACCAGGCACUAAGCAUUGGGAAUAAAGAGAUGAAUGAGACGGAUGUGGCUGGAAGAGCAAAUAAAU